rnacentral:tRNA from 1 species
AGCUCAUUUGGGAGAGCGCCGCCCUUGCACGGCGGAGGUAGCCGGUUCGACCCCGGUC